rnacentral:rRNA from 1 species
GAUGAACGCUGGCGGCGUGCCUAAUACAUGCAAGUCGAGCGAACAGACGAGGAGCUUGCUCCUCUGACGUUAGCGGCGGACGGGUGAGUAACACGUGGAUAACCUACCUAUAAGACUGGGAUAACUUCGGGAAACCGGAGCUAAUACCGGAUAAUAUAUUGAACCGCAUGGUUCAAUAGUGAAAGACGGUUUUGCUGUCACUUAUAGAUGGAUCCGCGCCGCAUUAGCUAGUUGGUAAGGUAACGGCUUACCAAGGCAACGAUGCGUAGCCGACCUGAGAGGGUGAUCGGCCACACUGGAACUGAGACACGGUCCAGACUCCUACGGGAGGCAGCAGUAGGGAAUCUUCCGCAAUGGGCGAAAGCCUGACGGAGCAACGCCGCGUGAGUGAUGAAGGUCUUCGGAUCGUAAAACUCUGUUAUUAGGGAAGAACAAAUGUGUAAGUAACUAUGCACGUCUUGACGGUACCUAAUCAGAAAGCCACGGUUAACUACGUG